CCUGAAAUUUCGGAAUUGGGAAUUGUGAAACGGC
rnacentral:sRNA from 1 species